UGUCCACAUCAGCAGUUCAUCUGCUAAAAUCAGAAUGACACAGAAAAGACUAGCAUAGCCACUGUACAAGGAAGUAAUGCAAAUUGGUGCACUGUUCAGUAUUUGC
ensembl:snRNA U6 U6 spliceosomal RNA